rnacentral:rRNA from 1 species
UACGUAGGGUGCGAGCGUUAAUCGGAAUUACUGGGCGUAAAGCGUGCGCAGGCGGUUUUGUAAGCCAGAUGUGAAAGCCCCGGGCUUAACCUGGGAAUGGCAUUUGGGACUGCAAGGCUGGAGUGUGGCAGAGGAGACUGGAAUUCCUGGUGUAGCAGUGAAAUGCGUAGAUAUCAGGAGGAACACCGAUGGCGAAGGCAGGUCUCUGGGCUGACACUGACGCUCAUGCACGAAAGCGUGGG